rnacentral:rRNA from 1 species
AAUCAACGCUGGCGGCGUGCCUCAGACAUGCAAGUCGAACGCGAAAGGUUCCUUCGGGAGCCGAGUAGAGUGGCGCUCGGGUGAGUAACACGUAGGUAAUUUGCCUUUGGGUGGGGAAUAACAAUCGGAAACGGUUGCUAAUACCGCAUAAUGCAGCGGCCCGACAUCGAGACAGUUGUUAAAGCGGGGGAUCCUUCGGGACCUCGCGCCUAAAGAGAAGCCUGCGGCGGAUUAGCUAGNGGUGAGGUAAUGGCUCACCAAGGCGACGAUCCGUAACCGGCCUGAGAGGGCGGACGGUCACACUGACACUUAAAUACGGGUCAGACUCCUACGGGAGGCAGCAGUCGGGAAUUUUGGGCAAUGGGCGAAAGCCUGACCCAGCAACGCCGCGUGAAGGAUG